CAAACCUCUAAUCGAAAAAGACUACCGCU
rnacentral:rRNA from 1 species